UCUUCAUCAACAUGACCUUCAUCAUCAUCUUCAUCUGGACUCUCACAGCGUUUGCUCAAGAGUGUAGAGGACAGAUCAGCGUCACUCAGAGUCCCUCAACGACAGCAGCUCAACCAGGAGAAACAGUGAAGAUCAACUGUAGAACCAGCACAGAUGUGUAUUACAGUAGUGGUUAUCAUCGUUUAGCCUGGUACUUACAGAAACCUGGAGAAGCUCCUAAACUCCUGAUUUAUGCUGCAAACCGCCUCCAGUCAGGAACUCCAUCUAGAUUCAGUGGCAGUGGAUCUAACAGUGAUUUCACUCUGACCAUCAGUGGAGUCCAGACUGAAGAUGCUGGACAUUAUUACUGUCAGAGUUACCACUGGAUCAACAGUAAAGAUGUGUUCACACAGUGAUUGUGAGUUGUACAAAAACCUGUGUCAGUCAGAGUCACAGUGACUGAACUGAUGCUGCAGCUGAUCAAACACUAUCACUCACUACUGACACACAGAGACCAAACACAGAACUACACAUGAGCUCACAACUGA